rnacentral:tRNA from 1 species
AUUUUUUUAGUAUAAAAAGUACAUCUGACUUCCAAUCAGAAAGUCUAUAAUUUAGAAAAAAUA